UCAGCUCGGUGUAGUUAAUGGAGCCUUCCUUUUGGUGCCUCGAGGGAAACCAGGUAAGGGUGGUCCUCUUCGCGUCCGAUCCAAAAGAAGCGCCAUCUGAUCAUAUCCAGUCAGUGUGCUUGCCCAGAUUCUCUGGCUCAAAGAACUUGCUGGAGUUCUGCCACUUGGGAAUGCCUGGCUGCAGUCCAACGGAGACUUGGAAGACAUCGAUGAAGAGCAAGCGAUUCUGCAUGAACCUCAUUGCAAAAUCGACUCUUCCGUGGGGAUGAACGUUGUAGGCGAAUCGGAGAUGACUCUGCCUAGAUCCUUCUCAAAAAAAG
rnacentral:lncRNA from 1 species